rnacentral:rRNA from 1 species
AUUGAACGCUGGCGGCAGGCCUAACACAUGCAAGUCGAGCGGAGCGGCGGACGGGUGAGGAAUGCCUAGGAAUCUGCCUGGGAGUGGGGGAUAACGUCCGGAGACGGGCGAUAAUGCCGCAUACCAUCAGUGCAGCCUAGGUUGGCUUAGCUAGUUGGGGGGGUAAAGGCCUACCAAGGCGACGAUCCGUAACUGGUCCGAGAGGAUGAUCAGUCAGACUGGAACUGAGACACGGUCCAGACUCCUACGGGAGGCAGCAGUGGGGAAUAUUGGACAAUGGGCGAAAGCCUGAUCCAGCCAUGCCGCGUGAGUGAAGAAGGUUUUCGGAUUGUAAAGCACUGUAAUUUGGGAGGCGUUACCAACCGAAUAAGCACCGGCUAACUUCGUGCCAGCAGCCGCGGUAAUUC